rnacentral:rRNA from 1 species
GACGAACGCUGGCGGCGUGCUUAACACAUGCAAGUCGAACGGAAAGGCCCUGCUUUUGUUGGGUGCUCGAGUGGCGAACGGGUGAGUAACACGUGAGUAACCUGCCCUUGACUUUGGGAUAACUUCAGGAAACUGGGGCUAAUACCGGAUAGGAGCUCCUGCUGCAUGGUGGGGGUUGGAAAGUUUCGGCGGUUGGGGAUGGACUCGCGGCUUAUCAGCUUGUUGGUGGGGUAGUGGCUUACCAAGGCUUUUACGGGUAGCCGGCCUGAGAGGGUGACCGGCCACAUUGGGACUGAGAUACGGCCCAGACUCCUACGGGAGGCAGCAGUGGGGAAUAUUGCACAAUGGGCGGAAGCCUGAUGCAGCAACGCCGCGUGCGGGAUGACGGCCUUCGGGUUGUAAACCGCUUUCGCCUGUGACGAAGCGUGAGUGACGGUAAUGGGUAAAGAAGCACCGGCUAACUACGUG